UACGGAGGGUGCAAGCGUUAUCCGGAUUCACUGGGUUUAAAGGGUGCGCAGGAGGGCAGGUAAGUCAGUGGUGAAAUCCCCGAGCUUAACUUGGGAACUGCCGUUGAUACUAUCUGUCUUGAAUAUUGUGGAGGUGAGCGGAAUAUGUCAUGUAGCGGUGAAAUGCUUAGAUAUGACAUAGAACACCAAUUGCGAAGGCAGCUCGCUACACAUAUAUUGACUCUGAGGCACGAAAGCGUGGGGAUCAAACAGG
rnacentral:rRNA from 1 species